CCAGAAGCCUCAUAUUUUCACUGACCC
rnacentral:piRNA from 1 species